CGGCCAGCUGCCUCUCUACGGCAUGACAAUCAGGGAGAGUGAGGAUGAGUGGGGAGUUCCUCCUUUUUCACUCUGUUUGGUCAGCGCCAGUCUGUCGUCGUGGCAGCAAGCUGUGUAUCAGAGAUGGUGAAAUGGAUGGAGGACAUCAGGAUGGCUGUAGUCCUGGUAGAACAGAGUAACAGACCUUCUACUGA